rnacentral:rRNA from 1 species
GGCUGAAAUUCGCCUUCAUGAAGCCGGAAUUGCUAGUAAUGGCAGGUCAGCAUACUGCCGUGAAUACGUUCCCGGGCCUUGUACACACCGCCCGUCACACCAUGAGGGUUGGGAAUACCCGAAGCCUGUGAGCUAACGUAAGAGGCAGCAGUCGAAGGUAGAAUCAAUGAUUGGGGUGAAGUCGUAACAAGGUAAC